CUGACCCUACGGGUGGCAGCAGUGGGGAAUCUUCCGCAAUGGGCGAAAGCCUGACGGAGCGACGCCGCGUGAGCGAAGAAGGCCUUCGGGUUAUAAAGCUCUGUCUUCGGGGAAGAAGCAAAUGACGGUACCCGGGGAGGAAGCCCCGGCUAACUACGUGCCAGCAGCCGCGGUAAAACGUAGGGGGCGAGCGUUGUCCGGAAUUACUGGGCGUAAAGGGCGCGUAGGCGGUCACUUAAGUCAGGGGUGAAAACU
rnacentral:rRNA from 1 species